rnacentral:rRNA from 1 species
AGCCUUGAUGUGUAGGAUAGGUGGGAGGCUUUGAAGUGUGGACGCCAGUCUGCAUGGAGCCGACCUUGAAAUACCACCCUUUAAUGUUUGAUGUUCUAACGUGGACCCGUUACCCGGGUUGCGGACAGUGUCUGGUGGGUAGUUUGACUGGGGCGGUCUCCUCCUAAAGAGUAACGGAGGAGCACGAAGGUUGGCUAAUCCUGGUCGGACAUCAGGAGGUUAGUGCA